GUCGGGUGUGGUGGCGCGCACCUGUAAUCCCAGCUACUCGGGAGGGUGAGGCAGGAGAAUUGCUUGAACCUGGGAGGCUGAGAUUGCAGUGCGUCGAAAUUGAGCCACUGCACCCCAGCCUGGGUGACAGAGCAAGACUCUGUCUCCA
rnacentral:SRP_RNA from 1 species